AUUGCAAGUGAUGAGAAAACAGACAGGGACAUCUGCACUCCACGGAGAUUGAUGACUUGUUCUAAUGGGAAUCUCUCUGAUGCUUU